rnacentral:rRNA from 1 species
UGGGGAAUUUUGGACAAUGGGCGCAAGCCUGAUCCAGCCAUGCCGCGUGCGGGAAGAAGGCCUUCGGGUUGUAAACCGCUUUUGUCAGGGAAGAAAUCUUCUGAGUUAAUACCUCGGGAGGGUGACGGUACCUGAAGAAUAAGCACCGGCUAACUACGUGCCAGCAGCCGCGGUAAUACGUAGGGUGCAAGCGUUAAUCGGAAUUACUGGGCGUAAAGCGUGCGCAGGCGGUUUUGUAAGACAGAAGUGAAAUCCCCGGGCUCAACCUGGGAACUGCCUUUGUGACUGCAAGGCUUGAGUGCGGCAGAGGGGGAUGGAAUUCCGCGUGUAGCAGUGAAAUGCGUAGAUAUGCGGAGGAACACCGAUGGCGAAGGCAAUCCCCUGGGCCUGCACUGACGCUCAUGCACGAAAGCGUGGGGAGCAAAACAGGAUUAGAUACCCUGGUAGUCCACGCCCUAAAACGAUGUCAACUGGUUGUUGGGAAGGUUCCUUCUCAGUAACGUAGCUAACGCGUGAAGUUGACCGCCUGGGGAGUACGGCCGCAAGGUUG